ensembl:lncRNA
UGAGAUCUGCACUUGAUAAAAGUUUUAUUAAUUAAAACGUCCCAAUAAUAGUUGACUGAACGAGUAAAAAUAUAGUAAUCUCGACCAUAUAUUACUUAUUUUAGACGAAGGCCUGUUAACCAUAUGCAUACAUUAAAGACCCCCCUUGCACACAUAUUUGAAAAAUAUUCUAUAUAUUGAAUUAGUAGUUAAAACAAAAUGUUCACAAAAAAGAUCAAACCAUUAUGGCUUUGCAGCAUCUCCAAACAUUACCUUCUGUGCCAGGAUAUGAUUGGUCAACAUCGGACCCACCCCCCACCAAUGACUUCCUCCCACAAAGACUCCCCCCUCCCAAAUGCCCAUAUCUGAACCCAUGCAUCGAAAAGAAAGCAUACAAAUGUAUGGAUAACUCCGCAUACAGCCGUCCUGUACUCCGAAAGGAGCUUCGAAGGCCUCGAACGACACUUGACACCAGGUCACACUCAGUGGUGUGGGUUCAACUUUAGAGGAACUAAUCCUAAUAGCAGCACCACAACCCUGGGUGUAAACGGGCUCAGAAUCAUCGGUCCAACGAGCGCCUAGGACCGCAAUAUGACACUGCUACUUAACACAGAUAAAAACACAACCCGUUCGGUUUUGUGGCAAAAUGAAGAAGACGAAACUGGACCGGAACAGCCUCACCGCUCAGCAUCACACCUGGAGAGGCGGCGUCGACUUAUUUCGUGCGGGAGACGCGUGUUAACAUUAUGCUGAGCGCUGAAUGGACAGGAGCAACCGGACACUAUUCACGUUCAGGUCUGUGAACUUUCACCCCACAACUAUAGCCUACCUUAUGUUAAAGUUACGAGACCAAACACAAAAGACAGCGAUCGUUUUUUGGAUUGUUUUCAAGUGACACGGAAGGGAGGAGACACCGGGACGACUGUUUUCGUCAUAAUAAGGCGAAGCUGACGCGUGGUACCGGUCAACACCUGUCGGCUCCACCGAGGUAGACACACGGGGACGUGGAGGCGCGCGUGUGUGUGUGGGGGGGGCCCCCUGCAAACGGGAGGGGUCACGCAUCCGAUGGACAAAACAUCUGUUUUUCCGGGUAAUUACGGUUUUAGCCAGACACUUAAUUUCAGAUUUGUUUAACAAUGAUAAGUAGACCAGGGAGUGGACUCGGGUGACGUGGGACGGUCUCCGGUGUCGAUGCGGUUCCUCUGGGAGAUUGCGGGGUUCGGGUCGGGUGCGGGGGUUCAUUUUGUCGCUUACGAGCCCGACGCGUGAAUGUGUUCGUUUUUUGGAGAAAAAUAAAACAAAAUAAAACAAAUAAUAAGAAGAAACGGAAGCAACAAAGACAGAAAUCGAUAGGAUUGCUUGUAAAAUUACUUUCUUUUUUUUUCUUUUUAAAUGUGGAUAAUAUUUUUUUUGUAUAUAGGUAGAUAAUGUUUGGUUGAUUUGAACAGGGGGAAAGGAGGAAUGGGGAACAGGGAGGAGAACGUAAAAGGUCAUUACAAUCAGAAGGUCUUCGCUCACUAGCUAGGUCAACAGAAAACCAGUUCAACAUGCAGUGAAAGGAGAACGGAAAAGAAAUAAACACUAAAUAGAUUCAGUACUCCAAAAACCGCCACGAGAUCAUAUCCAAAUUAGUUUCGCCCGUGACUAAUACCGCGUAAUUGACGUUGUCCUCCAACAAAUUGAUUAAAAAAAAAAAAAAAAAAAUAGCAAAGAAAAAUAAAGAUGAAUUUCAUAAUAAUUUGUUUUUAAAUAAAAUGGCUAAUUGACAUUAUUGCACAUGUGCAAAAGAGACAGUAAUACUAACUAGCUGUAGACCCUCCCCCACCACCAUCCCCUCAAUCGCUGCGGACUCCCCUCAAGCACUUUAUAUAAAAACAUUCGGAAAACCUGACAGACCGACCAAGAGGAAGAGGAGGAUGAGAACGAGUCGAACCGCUGGUUAAAAACCUGGCUGGGCGGGGGGGGGCAGGGGGUUGAGAGAACACUCAGACGUUGUGCGAUACAGUACAGUGUAGGGUGAAGAAGUGCCUCCUUUGAGCUCGACAGCAACACGGAUCCGCCCCAGGGAACGGUUCCACCUGUUGAGGCCUCGGUUGGGUUCUGUUAAACGCUAACCUGUGCUAUCCACGAGGAAGAGGAGGAGGAGGGGGAAGAGGAGGAGGAGGGCGAAAGAAGAGGAAGAGGGCGAAAGAAGAGGAAGAGGAGAAAGAGGGCGAGGAGGGCGAAAGAAGAGGAAGAGGGGGAAAGAAGAGGAAGAGGGGAGGAGGGGGAAAGAAGAGGAAGAGGAGGGAGAGGAGAAAGAGGGCGAGGAGGUGGGAGAGGAAGAGUGGGAGGGAGAGGAGAAAGGAUGAAGAGGAGAUAGAGGGAGAGGAAGGAGGAAGAGGAGCAAGAGAGGAGGGAGAGGAGAAAGAAGGGACAGAGGGAAGAGAGGGAAUGCUGUUUAGAUGCUGGGCUGUGUUCCUUGGAGACUGUUGCUACAUACAGAAGAGCCCCUGGACCCGCUCUGGAGGUGGGACACCGUGGGGGGGGAAAGGCCGAAGGAGGAAGAGGAACAUAAAAUGGAACUGGCUUCAGCAGACGGCUCCUCGGACCGCGGGGGGGUCGCGGUUCGAUCUCCGCCUUGCCUCUUUGAUUUUGUACAUCGUCCCGCCUCCUCGCGCCGGGGGGGGGCUGUUGAUUGGCAGUGUCCAGGUCCAAUGAGGUGGCAGAGUGAGUCAGUCCUUUUUUAAAAACCCAGAGAUUGGCGGCGGAGGCUUGUUUCUUUUUACUUUAUUUUUUCUGCUUUGUGGGAUUUCUGUCCCCCUCCCCCUCCUCCCCUCCUCCUCCUCCUCCUCCCGGGUCGGUCGGGGUCUGACCCGGGACGCGCUCCUACCCGGUCCGGGGGUCCAGGACGCGGCCAGACCUCCGGGACGGGGGUGGGGGGGGAUGGGGAGAGGUGGGGUGGGGCGGGUGGCGUACCUCCGGGCGCGCGCUCUCAGACGGGCCCGUUCACGGACACCUCGGCCGGCUUGGGGUCCUCCCUGGGUGGGGGGGGGGAGAGGUUAGAGACGUGGGGGUCCUUAGGGACUUUCACUCAGGCAGAGGACAGAGGAGCAACGGGAGACAGA